GACAGAGGGUGCAAACGUUGUUCGGAAUUACUGGGCGUAAAGCGCGUGUAGGCGGCUAAGUAAGUCGGGCGUGAAAUCCCACGGCUCAACCGUGGAAGUGCACUCGAAACUGCAUAGCUAGAGUCCUGGAGAGGAAGAUGGAAUGCUUGGUGUAGAGGUGAAAUUCGUAGAUAUCAAGCGGAACACCGGUGGCGAAGGCAGGUCUCUGGGCAUUAACUGACGCUGAGGAGCGAAAGCAUGGGGAGCGAACAGG
rnacentral:rRNA from 1 species